rnacentral:rRNA from 1 species
CUGGAGGUAUCAGAAGUGCGAAUGCUGACAUAAGUAACGAUAAAGCGGGUGAAAAGCCCGCUCGCCGGAAGACCAAGGGUUCCUGUCCAACGUUAAUCGGGGCAGGGUGAGUCGACCCCUAAGGCGAGGCCGAAAGGCGUAGUCGAUGGGAAACAGGUUAAUAUUCCUGUACUUGGUGUUACUGCGAAGGGGGGACGGAGAAGGCUAUGUUGGCCGGGCGACGGUUGUCCCGGUUUAAGCGUGUAGGCUGGUUUUCCAGGCAAAUCCGGAAAAUCAAGGCUGAGGCGUGAUGACGAGGCACUACGGUGCUGAAGCAACAAAUGCCCUGCUUCCAGGAAAAGCCUCUAAGCAUCAGGUAACAUCAAAUCGUACCCCAAACCGACACAGGUGGUCAGGUAGAGAAUACCAAGGCGCUUGAGAGAACUCGGGUGAAGGAACUAGGCAAAAUGGUGCCGUAACUUCGGGAGAAGGCACGCUGAUAUGUAGGUGAAGCGACUUGCUCGUGGAGCUGAAAUCAGUCGAAGAUACCAGCUGGCUGCAACUGUUUAUUAAAAACACAGCACUGUGCAAACACGAAAGUGGACGUAUACGGUGUGACGCCUGCCCGGUGCCGGAAGGUUAAUUGAUGGGGUUAGCGGUAACGCGAAGCUCUUGAUCGAAGCCCCGGUAAACGGCGGCCGUAACUAUAACGGUCCUAAGGUAGCGAAAUUCCUUGUCGGGUAAGUUCCGACCUGCACGAAUGGCGUAAUGAUGGCCAGGCUGUCUCCACCCGAGACUCAGUGAAAUUGAACUCGCUGUGAAGAUGCAGUGUACCCGCGGCAAGACGGAAAGACCCCGUGAACCUUUACUAUAGCUUGACACUGAACAUUGAGCCUUGAUGUGUAGGAUAGGUGGGAGGCUUUGAAGUGUGGACGCCAGUCUGCAUGGAGCCGACCUUGAAAUACCACCCUUUAAUGUUUGAUGUUCUAACGUUGGCCCGUUAUCCGGGUUGCGGACAGUGUCUGGUGGGUAGUUUGACUGGGGCGGUCUCCUCCUAAAGAGUAACGGAGGAGCACGAAGGUUGGCUAAUCCUGGUCGGACAUCAGGAGGUUAGUGCAAUGGCAUAAGCCAGCUUGACUGCGAGCGUGACGGCGCGAGCAGGUGCGAAAGCAGGUCAUAGUGAUCCGGUGGUUCUGAAUGGAAGGGCCAUCGCUCAACGGAUAAAAGGUACUCCGGGGAUAACAGGCUGAUACCGCCCAAGAGUUCAUAUCGACGGCGGUGUUUGGCACCUCGAUGUCGGCUCAUCACAUCCUGGGGCUGAAGUAGGUCCCAAGGGUAUGGCUGUUCGCCAUUUAAAGUGGUACGCGAGCUGGGUUUAGAACGUCGUGAGACAGUUCGGUCCCUAUCUGCCGUGGGCGCUGGAGAACUGAGGGGGGCUGCUCCUAGUACGAGAGGACCGGAGUGGACGCAUCACUGGUGUUCGGGUUGUCAUGCCAAUGGCACUGCCCGGUAGCUAAAUGCGGAAGAGAUAAGUGCUGAAAGCAUCUAAGCACGAAACUUGCC